CUCAGUUCGGAUUGUAGUCUGCAACCCGACUACAUGAAGCCGGAAUCGCUAGUAAUCGCGAAUCAGAAUGUCGCGGUGAAUACGUUCCCGGGUCUUGUACACACCGCCCGUCACACCAUGGGAGCCGGAAAUGCCCGAAGUCAGUGGCCCAACCUUAAAGGAGGGAGCUGCCGAAGGUGGAGCUGGUAACUGGGGUGAAGUCGUAACAAGGUAAC
rnacentral:rRNA from 1 species